GGGCGAAUGGUCUAGGGGUAUGAUAUUCGCUUUGCAUUAGUCCACUGGUUGAUACCAGCUCGGAUAGGUUGAUGCUUGCGAAGGGUCCGGGGUUCAAAUCCCCGUUCGUCCA